GACGAAGAACGCAGCGAAAUGCGAUAAGUAAUGUGAAUUGCAGAAUUCAGUGAAUCAUCGAAUCUUUGAACGCACCUUGCGCUCCUUGGUAUUCUGAGGAGCAUGCCUGUUUGAGUGUCAUUAAAUUCUCAACCUCACCCGUUUUCUGAACGGGUCGAGGCUUGGAUGUGGGGGUUUGUGCAGGCUGCCUCACUGGCGGUCUGCUCCCCUGAAAUGCAUUAGCGAGGUUCAUGCUGAACUUCCGUCUAUUGGUGUGAUAAUUAUCUACGCCGUGGACGAGGAUCAGACUCGCUUCUAACUGUCCGCGAGGACAAUACCUUGACAAUUUGACCUCAAAUCAGGUAGGACUACCCGCUGAACUUAAGCAUAUCAAUGAGCGGAGGA
rnacentral:misc_RNA from 1 species